AUUGAACGCUGGCGGAAUGCUUUACACAUGCAAGUCGAACGGCAGCACGGACUUCGGUCUGGUGGCGAGUGGCGAACGGGUGAGUAACAUAUCGGAACGUAUCCAAUAAUGGGGGAUAACUAAUCGAAAGGUUGGCUAAUACCGCAUACGCCCUACGGGGGAAAGCAGGGGAUCUUCGGACCUUGCGUUAAUGGAGCGGCUGAUAUCUGAUGAGCUAGGUGGUGAGGUAAAGGCUCACCAAGGCGACGAUCAGUAGCUGGUCUGAGAGGACGACCAGACACCCUGGACCUGCGACACGGUCCAGACUCCUACGGGAGGCAGCAGUGGGGAAUUUUGGACAAUGGGCGCAAGCCUGCUCCAGCCAUUCCGCGUGAGUGAAGAAGGCCUUCGUGUUGUAAAGCUCUUUCGCAAGGGAAGAAAACUUACUUUCUAAUAAAGAGUGAGGUUGACGGUACCUUGAUAAGAAGCACCGGCUAACUACGUGCCAGCAGCCGCCGCGG
rnacentral:rRNA from 1 species